GUAGUCAUAUGCUUGUCUCAAAGAUUAAGCCAUGCAUGUCUAAGUAUAAGCAAUUUGUACGGUGAAACUGCGAAUGGCUCAUUAAAUCAGUUAUCGUUUAUUUGAUAGUACCUUACUACAUGGAUACCUGUGGUAAUUCUAGAGCUAAUACAUGCUAAAAACUCCAACUUCGGAAGGAGUGUAUUUAUUAGAUAAAAAACCAAUGCCCUUCGGGGCUCCUUGGUGAAUCAUAAUAACUUAACGAAUCGCAUGGCCUUGCGCCGGCGAUGGUUCAUUCAAAUUUCUGCCCUAUCAACUUUCGAUGGUAGGAUAGUGGCCUACCAUGGUGGCAACGGGUAACGGGGAAU
rnacentral:rRNA from 1 species